rnacentral:rRNA from 1 species
GUGAGGAAUAUUGGUCAAUGGAGGCAACUCUGAACCAGCCAUGCCGCGUGCAGGAAGACGGUCCUAUGGAUUGUAAACUGCUUUUAUUUAGGAAUAAACCCCCGGUCGUGCACCGGGGCUGAAUGUACUAAAAGAAUAAGCACCGGCUAACUCCGUGCCAGCAGCCGCGGUAAUACGGAGGGUGCAAGCGUUAUCCGGAAUCAUUGGGUUUAAAGGGUCCGCAGGCGGGUAAAUAAGUCAGAGGUGAAAUCCGGCAGCUCAACUGUCGCACUGCCUUUGAUACUGUUUAUCUUGAAUGUUAGUGGAGUGGGCGGAAUAUGUCAUGUAGAGGUGAAAUGCUUAGAUAUGACGUGGAACACCGAUAGCGAAGGCAGCUCACUAACUAUGAAUUGACGCUCAUGGACGAAAGCGUGGGUAGCAAACAGGAUUAGAAACCCCGGUAGUCC